GUGACCGUACAGUGACACUGACCGCCUACUACCGCCAUUUCGAACUACUCUCGUGUUCAUGAUGACUUCGAAUCCGGACCAGGUAAUCCGCCUCAUCAUCUCCGAUAUAAGGCUUGGUACCCGUUCGACGUCGACGUCCGCAUUGCUACAAUCCCGGUCGAGGUCGACAGAAACGGUCAACUUUACCCAAGAUUGCGGAACAGAGACAGACCCCCCGAAGAGCGUGGUUACCAACCGCAAAAAGCGUCGCACAAUGUGGUGCCUGGUCGCGCUCGCCGCGGCACUA